rfam:Felis catus isolate Cinnamon breed Abyssinian chromosome B2, whole genome shotgun sequence.
GCCUGGGUGGCUCAGUUGGUUAAGCGUCCGACUUCAGCUCAGGUCAUCAUCUCAUGGUUCGUGGGUUCAAGCCCCACAUCUGGCU